GAUGAACGCUGGCGGCGUGCCUAAUACAUGCAAGUCGAGCGAACAGACGAGGAGCUUGCUCCUCUGACGUUAGCGGCGGACGGGUGAGUAACACGUGGAUAAUCUACCUAUAAGACUGGGAUAACUUCGGGAAACCGGAGCUAAUACCGGAUAAUAUAUUGAACCGCAUGGUUCAAUAGUGAAAGACGGUUUUGCUGUCACUUAUAGAUGGAUCCGCGCCGCAUUAGCUAGUUGGUAAGGUAACGGCUUACCAAGGCAACGAUGCGUAGCCGACCUGAGAGGGUGAUCGGCCACACUGGAACUGAGACACGGUCCAGACUCCUACGGGAGGCAGCAGUAGGGAACCUUCCGCAAUGGGCGAAAGCCUGACGGAGCAACGCCGCGUGAGUGAUGAAGGUCUUCGGAUCGUAAAACUCUGUUAUUAGGGAAGAACAAAUGUGUAAGUAACUAUGCACGUCUUGACGGUACCUAAUCAGAAAGCCACGGCUAACUACGUG
rnacentral:rRNA from 1 species